rnacentral:rRNA from 1 species
UGGGGGAAUAUUGCACAAUGGGGGGAAACCCUGAUGCAGCGACGCCGCGUGAGUGAAGAAGUAUUUCGGUAUGUAAAGCUCUAUCAGCAGGGAAGAAGAUGACGGUACCUGACUAAGAAGCCCCGGCUAACUACGUGCCAGCAGCCGCGGUAAUACGUAGGGGGCAAGCGUUAUCCGGAUUUACUGGGUGUAAAGGGAGCGUAGACGGCCAGGUAAGUCAGGUGUGAAAGCCCGGGGCUCAACCCCGGGACUGCACUUGAAACUAUCUGGCUAGAGUGUCGGAGAGGUAAGUGGAAUUCCUAGUGUAGCGGUGAAAUGCGUAGAUAUUAGGGGGAACACCAGUGGCGAAGGCGACUUACUGGACGAUAACUGACGUUGAGGCUCGAAAGCGU